AGUUUGAUCCUGGCUCAGGACGAACGCUGGCGGCGUGCCUAAUACAUGCAAGUAGAACGCUGAAGACUUUAGCUUGCUAAAGUUGGAAGAGUUGCGAACGGGUGAGUAACGCGUAGGUAACCUGCCUACUAGCGGGGGAUAACUAUUGGAAACGAUAGCUAAUACCGCAUAACAGCAUUUAACCCAUGUUAGAUGCUUGAAAGGAGCAAUUGCUUCACCAGUAGAUGGACCUGCGUUGUAUUAGCUAGUUGGUGAGGUAACGGCUCACCAAGGCGACGAUACAUAGCCGACCUGAGAGGGUGAUCGGCCACACUGGGACUGAGACACGGCCCAGACUCCUACGGGAGGCAGCAGUAGGGAAUCUUCGGCAAUGGGGGCAACCCUGACCGAGCAACGCCGCGUGAGUGAAGAAGGUUUUCGGAUCGUAAAGCUCUGUUGUAAGAGAAGAACGUGUGUGAGAGUGGAAAGUUCACACAGUGACGGUAACUUACCAGAAAGGGACGGCUAACUACGUGCCAGCAGCCGCGGUAAUACGUAGGUCCCGAGCGUUGUCCGGAUUUAUUGGGCGUAAAGCGAGCGCAGGCGGUUUAAUAAGUCUGAAGUUAAAGGCAGUGGCUUAACCAUUGUUCGCUUUGGAAACUGUUAGACUUGAGUGCAGAAGGGGAGAGUGGAAUUCCAUGUGUAGCGGUGAAAUGCGUAGA
rnacentral:rRNA from 1 species